UACGUAGGGUGCAAGCGUUAUCCGGAAUUAUUGGGCGUAAAGAGCUCGUAGGCGGUUUGUUGCGUCCGCUGUGAAAACUCGGGGCUUAACCCCGAGCCUGCAGUGGAUACGGGCAGACUAGAGGUAGGUAGGGGAGAAUGGAAUUCCCGGUGUAGCGGUGAAAUGCGCAGAUAUCGGGAGGAACACCGGUGGCGAAGGCGGUUCUCUGGGCCUUACCUGACGCUGAGGAGCGAAAGCGUGGGGAGCGAACAGG
rnacentral:rRNA from 1 species